rnacentral:rRNA from 1 species
UACGUAGGGGGCAAGCGUUGUCCGGAAUUACUGGGCGUAAAGAGCUCGUAGGUGGUUUGUCACGUUGUUCGUGAAAACCCACAGCUCAACUGUGGGCGUGCGAGCGAUACGGGCAGACUAGAGUACUGCAGGGGAGACUGGAAUUCCUGGUGUAGCGGUGGAAUGCGCAGAUAUCAGGAGGAACACCGAUGGCGAAGGCAGAUCUCUGGGCCGUAACUGACGCUGAGGAGCGAAAGCAUGGGGAGCGAACAGG